rnacentral:rRNA from 1 species
CUAUAGGGCUAAAAUACCUUAAAGGUACCUGAUCCCAUCUGAUUUUGGCAUCUAAGCAGGGCCAUCCCUGGUUAGUACUUGAAUGAGAGAUUGGCAGUGAAUACCAGAUACUGAAGAUU